GGAGUAUGGACCGUGUCUCAGUUCCAUUGUGGGGGACCUUCCUCUCAGAACCCCUACCCAUCGUCGGCUCGGUGGGCCGUUACCCCGCCGACUACCUAAUGGGACGCGAGCCAAUCCGUGGCCGCCGAAGCUUUCAAAACAGGACCAUGCGGUCCCACUUGUUACGGGGUCUUAGACGACGUUUCCAUCGAUUAUCCCCCUGCCACGGGCAUGUUGCUCACGCGUUACGCACCCUUCCGCCGGUCGCCGCCAGAAGUAUUGCUACCUCCGCGAUGCCCCUCGACUUGCAUGUGUUAAGCCUGCCGCUAGCGUUCAUC
rnacentral:rRNA from 1 species